GGUGAGUGUUUCCAGGCCUCCCCAGCAUGCAGGCAGAAAUGCAGGAAACAGAGACACUUCGAGCCAGAGGGCCGAAGCUUUGCCCACUGAAGACCCCAGGAGGAUGGCCAGGGUCUCAGAGGGAGUAGAGGAAGGGGUCAGUAAACAGUUGCUAUGGAGACACAGGGAUGUGUCGAGUGGAAGUACAAGACCUCGAACUCCAAAUCCCAGGGCAGCUUGGACCCAAGACCAAGCCCAGAAGGGUGUGUUGGAGCUGCUUUUUCAGCCCGAGCCCCAGAAUGAAGACACAUGGAACAGAGUCACAAACAACCUGCAGCAGAUAUACAAUGUCCAGAGAGGCACAGCAACAUGCCAAAGGUCACACAGCAAGGGGCUACACAAGAAAUGAAUCUCCACCUCAUUUCCCUGAAGCACACUGUCCUUCCCCAGAGAAACGGUGGGGAGGUGGAAGGGAAAAGAGAGACUCACAGGUUGAAAAAUGCAGCUCCAGAGAGAAACCAGUGGGAGGCCAAGGAAUUCAAGUUGAGCCAGGGUCCAGGUUCCAGCUAAGAAGGGAGUGCCCUGUGAGUGGAUGAAGAGGCGGCUCCCCGGGGCCUUCGCUGGAAGAGGUGGGGAAAAGGAUGUCAGAUUACAGAGCAGGAGGCUGGAGGAAAGAGAAAGAAAAUAAAUAAAUAAAAAUAGAAAAGAGAAAAAAAAAGCCCUCCAGCC
rnacentral:lncRNA from 1 species